rnacentral:rRNA from 1 species
AGUGAACGCUGGCGGUAGGCCUAACACAUGCAAGUCGAACGGCAGCACAGUAAGAGCUUGCUCUUACGGGUGGCGAGUGGCGGACGGGUGAGGAAUACAUCGGAAUCUACUUUUUCGUGGGGGAUAACGUAGGGAAACUUACGCUAAUACCGCAUACGACCUACGGGCGAAAGCAGGGGAUCUUCGGACCUUGCGCGAUUGAAUGAGCCGAUGUCGGAUUAGCUAGUUGGCGGGGUAAAGGCCCACCAAGGCGACGAUCCGUAGCUGGUCUGAGAGGAUGAUCAGCCACACUGGAACUGAGACACGGUCCAGACUCCUACGGGAGGCAGCAGUGGGGAAUAUUGGACAAUGGGCGCAAGCCUGAUCCAGCCAUACCGCGUGGGUGAAGAAGGCCUUCGGGUUUUAAAGCCCUUUUGUUGGGAAAGAAAAGCAGCAGGUUAAUACCCCGCUGUUCUGACGGUACCCAAAGAAUAAGCACCGGCUAACUUCGUG